rnacentral:lncRNA from 1 species
GAGGUUUUUGUAUAAAAAUUCGGAGGCUUCAGAGACAAAUGAAUUCGGACAGAGGUGAAAUAAUUUAAACACGACUUAAGGCGAUCAAUCCAUUUUUAUUCGGCCUAAGGCUUGCCUAGGCGUUAUUUAAACCAUAAAAUAAGGUGGACAUGCUUAUUAAAUUCCAGUUUUAAAAGGCGUUUGUUAACCAGUUUUACCAAAUUAGCGAAGUAUUCA